UACGUAGGGGGCAAGCGUUGUCCGGAUUUAUUGGGCGUAAAGAGCUCGUAGGCGGUUCCGUAAGUCGUGAAGUCAAAUCUCUGGGCUCAACCCAGAAUCGCUUCCGAUACUGCGGUGACUGGAGUCCGGUAGGGGAGUGUGGAAUUCCUGGUGUAGCGGUGAAAUGACGCAGAUAUCAGGAGGAACACCGGUGGCGAAGGCGGGUCUCUGGGCCGUAACUGACGCUGAGGAGCGAAAGCAUGGGGAGCGAACAGG
rnacentral:rRNA from 1 species